rnacentral:rRNA from 1 species
UACGGAGGGUGCAAGCGUUAUUCGGAAUUACUGGGCGUAAAGCGCGUGUAGGCGGGAAAGCAAGUCUGAUGUGAAAGCCCCGGGCUUAACCUGGGAAGUGCAUUGGAAACUGUUUUUCUUGAGUACUGGAGAGGAAGGGAGAAUUCCCGGUGUAGAGGUGAAAUUCGUAGAGAUCGGGAGGAACACCAGUGGCGAAGGCGCCCUUCUGGACGGUUACUGACGCUGAGACGCGAAAGCGUGGGGAGCAAACAGG